GAUGAACGCUGGCGGCGUGCCUAAUACAUGCAAGUCGAGCGAACAGACGAGGAGCUUGCUCCUCUGACGUUAGCGGCGGACGGGUGAGUAACACGUGGAUAACCUACCUAUAAGACUGGGAUAACUUCGGGAAACCGGAGCUAAUACCGGAUAAUAUAUUGAACCGCAUGGUUCAAUAGUGAAAGACGGUUUUGCUGUCACUUAUAGAUGGAUCCGCGCCGCAUUAGCUAGUUGGUAAGGUAACGGCUUGCCAAGGCGACGAUGCGUAGCCGACCUGAGAGGGCGAUCGGCCACACUGGAACUGAGACACGGUCCAGACUCCUACGGGAGGCAGCAGUAGGGAAUCUUCCGCAAUGGGCGAAAGCCUGACGGAGCAACGCCGCGUGAGUGAUGAAGGUCUUCGGAUCGUAAAACUCUGUUAUUAGGGAAGAACAAAUGUGUAAGUAACUAUGCACGUCUUGACGGUACCUAAUCAGAAAGCCACGGCUAACUACGUG
rnacentral:rRNA from 1 species